UACAGAGGUCUCAAGCGUUGUUCGGAUUCAUUGGGCGUAAAGGGUGUGUAGGUGGCGCCGUAAGUCGGGUGUGAAAUUUCGGAGCUUAACUCCGAAACUGCAUUCGAUACUGCGGUGCUUGAGGACUGGAGAGGAGACUGGAAUUCCACGUGUAGCGGUGAAAUGCGUAGAGAUGUGGAGGAACACCAGUGGCGAAGGCGGCUUUCUGGUCUGUAACUGACGCUGAGGCGCGAAAGCGUGGGGAGCAAACAGG
rnacentral:rRNA from 1 species